GAUGAACGCUGGCGGCGUGCCUAAUACAUGCAAGUCGAGCGAACAGACGAGGAGCUUGCUCCUCUGACGUUAGCGGCGGACGGGUGAGUAACACGUGGAUAACCUACCUAUAAGACUGGGAUAACUUCGGGAAACCGGAGCUAAUACCGGAUAAUAUAUUGAACCGCAUGGUUCAAUAGUGAAAGACGGUUUUGCUGUCACUUAUAGAUGGAUCCGCGCCGCAUUAGCUAGUUGGUAAGGUAACGGCUUACCAAGGCAACGAUGCGUAGCCGACCUGAGAGGGUGAUCGGCCACACUGGAACUGAGACACGGUCCAGACUCCUACGGGAGGCAGCAGUAGGGAAUCUUCCGCAAUGGGCGAAAGCCUGACGGAGCAAAGCCGCGUGAGGGACGCAGGUCUUCGGAUCGUAAAACUCUGUUAUUAGGGAAGAACAAAUGUGUAAGUAACUAUGCACGUCUUGACGGUACCUAAUCAGAAAGCCACGGCUAACUACGUG
rnacentral:rRNA from 1 species